UACCAGCACCUCGAGUGGUCAGGAGGUUUAUUGGGCCUAAAGCAUCCGUAGCCGGCUAUGCAAGUCUCCGGUUAAAUCCAGCUGCUCAACAGAUGGGCUGCCGGAGAUACUACAUAGCUAGGGAGCGGGAGAGGUAGACGGUAUUCGGUGGGUAGGGGUAAAAUCCACUGAUCCAUCGAGGACCACCAGUGGCGAAGGCGGUCUACCAGAACGCGUUCGACGGUGAGGGAUGAAAGCUGGGGGAGCAAACCGG
rnacentral:rRNA from 1 species